rnacentral:lncRNA from 1 species
UCAGAUUUAUAUUUAAUGGGAAAUACACAGUAACACAAUAAUAAUGUUAAUAAAUUUGUCAUUGAGAUGAACUUUUUACAACCAAGUAUGAUAACAAUAAUAAUGUUAAUAAAUUUGUCAUUCAAAAGAGAAACUCUUUUCAAGGUGAGAAACUAUACUACUACAAAAUUGGGUCAAAUAUCUACGUCAAUACUAUGCUAACUUCAAAGAUUUGAUUCAAUUCAAGCGAGAAGUGAUAUCUAAGAAUACUUCUUCUCUGCAAGGAAUAGUGAGACCACCCAUUGGAUGAUCAUAUUCAUAUUGUUCUUCAGCUUGGUUCAACAAUUCUUGGAACGAGGUUUGGUUCAAGUAUGAUAUUGGGAUCACAAACCGCUUCAUUUUCUCUCCUACAUACACUGCUAGAUAUCCUUUUGGCACGUCAACAGCUUUUGAAGAUGAUACCCUUGAUCUGAUGAUACUUGGUAAACGAAAACCCAUUGUUGUAUGAAUUAAAAAGAGAAGAUUGGUCUAAAAAAAAGAGUUGUGUAUAGAAGACUCAAGUUUCUGAACUUCAAAUGCCUUGGGAGGUGAAUGAUUUUUUGUUGGUGCUAAAUGCUUUUGCAGCCUUUAAUAUAUAUAGAUGAAAGGAUAUGUAACAAACAGUCGGCAGCUACAAUGAUCAAUGAAGGAGGGCCAUGAGGUUUGAGCUAUGGCCAGACAAGAGCAUAUGAAAGAUCACAUGGUGUUGUCUCUAGAUGAAUGGAUAAACUUCAAGUGUUGUAGUAGAUAGAUAAUGCAUAAUUCUUGAGCAUAAGCAUCAUAUAAUUGAUAGACUUGAAAGUAAAGCCACAAACAUAUAGAAUGGUUUAUGUUGUUAUAUUGUUAUCUAUGGCAUUAUAGUCACUUACUAGCUGGACAUCAGCAUUAUCAUAAUGCAGAAAACAUGUCUAAAGCAUGUUUACAAAAUUAUGAAGUACACCAAUUAAAUCAUGAAGAAAUAUGAGGCUGACAUCUCAUUUGGUAGCAAGUGGAAGCUUUGUAUUGGACAUUUGUUUAAGAAGGUAGGGUACACUCUUAGACAACACCACAUGAGACCUUAUCCCUAUGCUCUCUAUCCAUCAAACCCUUCAAUAAUAGUUUCUCUUGAAAUUUGGUUCUGAGAGAACUUCAAAAUCUAUAAAUACACUUCCUCUCUCCUUCAUAAAGCACAACUCAUUGGCAUCAUCAAGUAUUUAGUUAAAACUUACAUCCUUCUUACAUUUGAGAUUUUUUAUUUGUUCUUCUCUCAAACAAUAACAAAAAAUGGGUUUUCGUUUAAACUCUAUUCUAAGAGGAUCGGUAACAGCUAGACAAGCAACAUCAAAAUCUGUAGAAGUGAGAAAGGGCUAUGUUGCGGUGUAUGUUGGAGAGAAACUGGUGCGGUUUGUAGUCCCUGUAUCAUACUUGAAUCAACCUUCAUUUCAAGACUUGUUGAGUCAAUCCGAGGAAGAAUUUGGAUAUGAUCAUCCCAUGGGUGGCCUCACCAUUCCUUGUACAGAAGAUGUCUUCCAGCAUAUAAUUUCUUCCUUGAAUGGACUAUGAAUCUUACACUGUAGCAUACUCACAUAGACUAGAUUAAUUGAGACAAUUUUCAUUAUAGGCAUCAUUUUUACUUGUAAAUAUUACCCUUUUCAUGGGAAAUGGAGAAAAAAAUACUAUUUGAAUUACAAAUUCAAAAAAUUACUGUCCUCUUUUUUAUUGUUUAAUGACAUUGAGCUCAUUUACUUUAUCAGUUACAACUUUCACUAGCUAUAGUUAGUUCUUUAAAUAUCAGCCUGCUUAUGAAGAAUACAUAACUUGGCUGAUUUAAAAAAAAAUCCUACUACAAGCUAUGUUCUUUGAGCCUGUUGAAAUAAGAUAAUCUGUUGCUUUUAUUUCUGUAAAAUCCAGCUAAAUCUUUCUAUGCAAUAAAACCUGUUUUGCUAAUUCCAGGUAAAUAACUAAAGUUAUUGAACUAAAUCAAUAACCAUUGAUAAUUUAGCCAAAUUAAUUAGUUUUGGCCUGUCUUCAGAAAAUGCCUUUUUCCAUUGAUUAUAUUUAAGAGGUAUAGUUUCGUUAAAUGUUUCACAUAAAUUCAAAAAAAGCAAAAGUUGAACAUGAUUACUUUAACUAUUUUAUUAUCUCCUAAGCAGAAAUUAGCUCCUACACUUCAAUUUUAUUCAGAAUCUAUCUCACUUAGUUUAUUAGUAAACACCAUUAAACUUACAAGCUAAAUAUUUAUUUCAAUUCCUAUAGUUUGAAAUUGAUUCAAAUUUCCAACUGGCUCUUAAGUCUUUAACCCUUCUAGUUUUCUCAAAACUGAAAAUCACAAACUUUUAUUGUUUCAGUUGAAUAUUUAUGUGGGGAACAGGCCCUCUAUAAACUUCUAAUGUUUGGCAAGGAAGUGCCUCGCGUAUUCCUUAUAGUAUAAGGAAUCUGUAAUAGAUAAUAUGUACCUUUUUUUACUGGUUGAUGAUAUAUACUCAACAAAUAUCAAUUUGAUAUAAAAACAAAGUAAAAGUUAAGAGUUUUUGAAAUUUUCUCCUUCAAAAUAAUUACAAAAACUAGAUAAUCUAUAUAAUUGGCAACUGUCUAAAACUGUAGGUGACAUCCAUGCAUAAGCUCAACUUCGCCAACAAGUCAAUGAAAAUAAACCAUUGUUAGAUCAAUAUAGUUGGAUUCAGUGUUUUUCUUGAAGAUUCUUUUCGCAAUAUAUCCUUAAUUUAUGACCACUAAAAUAUAUCAGAUCCUUUUUUUUUUAUUGCAACAGGGGCGAUUCCUUUUUAUAUAUGAAGUAAAUGAAUUUUUCAUUUUAUCAGAGAGAUCAUAAACUGAACAUUUAGCAAUUGAUUUUCAUAUUCAUAAUUAAGGGGAAGUAAUAGAGAAAUAAUGUAAUAGUGUUUAAAAUUUCUCAUUCAGAUGAACGUUUUACAUUCAAGGUAUGAUAACAACAAAAGUGGAAAUCUUCUAAAGGUUAGAAAAUAGAAACUAAUUUGAUACAAAAAUUGGUCAGAUAUCUAUGUCAAUCUUCUAAUAUCUGCAUGGAGCUACUUCAAUUCAAGUUAGAAGUGAUAUCUAAGAAAACUUCUUCUUUGCAAGGAAUAGUGAGACCCCCCAUUGGAUGGUCAUAUUCAAAUUGUUCCUCAGCUUGGUUCAACAAUUCUUGGAAUGAUUUUUGCUUCAAAUAUGAUAUAGGGAUCACAAAUCUCUUCAUGUCCUUUCCUACAUACACAGCUAGAUAUCCCUUUGGAACGCCCACAGAUUUUGAAGAUGAUGACCUUUUGAUGAUACUAGGUAAACGAAAACCCAUUGUUGUAUGUGUUGAAAAUAAGAGAUUGGUCUAAAAUAGACAGACUUGUAUAUAGAAAAGACUCAAGUUUUUUAACUUCAAAUGAGUUGGAAUGUGAAUGAUUUGUGUUGGUGCUAAAUGCUUGCAGCCAUGAAUAUAUAUAGAUGAACGGAUACUUAACAAACCGUCGGCAACUAUAAUGAUCAGUGAAGGAGGACCAUAGGAUUAGAGUUAUGUUCAGACAACAGCAUAUGAAACGUCACAUGGUGUUGUCUUCAGAAUUUAGAGGACUUUCUCAAAGAUCAACAUCAAAUGUUGUGGUAGGUAGAUAAUGCAAGUCCCACCUUGUUGAGUAGAGGCCAGCAUAUAAUUAAUCAACUUGAAAGUAUAACCACAAACAUGUAGAGUGGUUUAUGGAUCUAUUGCUAUCUAUUGCCUUGUAUAGUUUAGCAUCUGGACAUCAACACUAUCAUAAUAGAAAGAACAUGUCUAAGCAUGAUUUCACAGUUAUGAAGAAGUAAUUAAUGCAUGAACAGAUAUAAGGCUGCUCUGCACUUGAGAAAGUCUCAAUUGGUUCCAAGUGGAAGCUUUGUGUUGGCCAUUGUUUGAGAAGGUGGGGUACAAUCUUAAGACAACGCCACAUGCUAUAUUAUCUUAUGCUCUCUAACCUUUAACUCUUUCAAAUAAUAAUUUAGCUUUGAAUCGAAUUUUCAGAUAAACUCAAUGACUAUAAAUAUACGCACAUAAAAUGGGUUUCCAAUAGCCUGUUCUUCUAAGUGUUAGUUACAUGGCAUCCCACUACAGUCUAGUUGUCCGCACACACCACAUCAAAAUGGUGUUUCCAAGUGGAAACAUCGUCAUCUACUCGUACCUUAUUGAUUAAUGCUCAUGCACUUUGAAAACAUUGAGGUGAUGUUGUUCUCACAACAUCUUAUUUGAUCAAGUGUAUGCCAUUCUCGGUAUUGGAUAAUGAGAUUCCACAUUCUCUCUUGUUUUAUAAGCCCCCGCUGUAUUUUGUACUUUUACGAGUGUUUGGAUCCACUUCUCUUGUUCAUGUUCUAUCUCCUGGCUGUGAAAAAUUGUUUACAGGAGAUAUCAAGUGUGUGUUUCAGGGGUACUGCAGAGUUCAAAAGGGGGAUCAAUGUUAUUGUCUAUUUACACGUCAUUUUUAUGUUUCGACAGAUGUUACUUUCUUUGAUGAUACACCUUACUUUGUGACACCAGGUACAUCAGAUUCUAAAACAUAUAUAUGUUAGUAAUCAUGUGGUACAUAUUCCUCUAUUUGAAUGAUCUAUCUCUACUCACAGACCUCCAUAGUCACAUAGUCAUCCCGAGUUUAAGUGUUAUUGUACUACUAAUCAACGUCAAUGUGUUGAUGCUCAAGAGACAGUUCCUACCUCUUCCGGUGAUUUAGAUUUUGUUCAUAUUACUUCUAACCGUCAUUAUAUAUAUAACUUUUUGAGUUAUCAUCGCUUGCCUCCAUCGAUCUCACUAUGUUUUUGUCUCUAUUAUAUCCGCUAUCUCUAUUCAUAAGUUCAUCCAGAAAGUAAUAUCACAUCCAGGAUGGCGACAAGCAAUAAUUGUUGAAAUGAAUGCAUUGGAGUCUGUGUACAUGGAAGUUUGUUCCAUUACCUCCUCGAAAAUCUAUUUUGGUUGUCAGUGGGUCUUUGCUAUUAAAGUAUGUUAUCAUGAACAAAUGGAUCAUACAAAAGGUCAAUUGGUAGCAAAAGUAUACCCUCAAAUUUAUGGUUUGGACUAUAUUGGUACCUUGCAAAAAUGGUUUAUGCUCGUCUUUCUUUGUUAGUGGCUGCUAUCAAACAUUUACCUUUGUAUCUUAUUUCAUGAAGUCUUAGAAGAGGCGAUGUAUAUGCAGUAGCCACCUGGCUUUAUUGCUUAGGGUGAUUUUGGUCUUGUUUACAAGUUAGAAAAAUCAUUGUACGGUCUAAAGCAAUCAGCUUGAACUUACUUUUGAAAAUUCAGCAAGCUUAUUCAAUAAUUUGGCAGGAUUCAUUGUGAAGCUGGUCAUUCUGUAUUAUUUAGACAUUCAUCUUCAAACAAAGUCAUUUAUUGAGUGGUAUAUGUGGAUGAUAUUUUUAUUACCGAUAAUGAUUAAGAAGACAUUAAAAACAUAAAAAAUAAUUUAUUCAACCACUUUCAAACCAAUUAUUUAAGCCAAUUGCGUUUUUUUUUUUGGGAAUGAAGUAACACAAACACAUGAAGCUACUGCUAUUUCUUAGAGAAAAUAUGUUCUUGAUAUCUUGGGAGAAACAUGGAUGCUCGAUUGUAAACCAGUUGCUACUCCUUUGGACCAUAAUGUGAAGCUUUUACAAAAUCAUGGAGAGUGGUAUCCUGAUCCAGACAGAUACAGGAGGCUAGUUGUGAAACUGAAUUAUCUCACUAUUCUUGUCUCUCCUCCUCUCACUUAUUUGCUUGUCUCUCUUUUUUCUGACUUACUUGCUUCUGUAUAUGCAGGAAGAAUUCAUUUAGCAAAGAAUUGAAUUAAUGCAAUAUAUCAUGUUUUUUCUGUUUCUAAGGGCUUGUUGUUCUUGUUUCUUUGUAGCUCAUCAUAGCAUGUUUUGCGGAGGUUUUAUGUUGCAGAUGUAAAUUUAGGUUUUGUACUUGCUAAUUUAGUAAAGCUGUGUCAAUAAUAACGUUGCAAAUCCAAAAUCUGUGAAUAAGAAUUUCAUUAUUGACAUAAAUGCUAAUCCAAUUUUAUAAAUUAAAAAUCGGCCAAAUCAAUCUUGGCUCAUCCGUAGUUUAACGGUUUAACCAGACUGCAAGAUAAUUGAAGUCAAACCAGCCGAUGAACUGGUCAUUUCCUAGUUCUAAGAAUGUUGAGGUAGUAUAUACCAACUUAUUUAAAAAACAAAUGUAAGGGUUCUACAAAUAUAGGUUGGUUCUUCAAGUGACAACAAAAUGCUACUACAAAUGAAAACAGACAAGCUUUUUCCAAACUAAAACAGAAAAUAAACAAAAGUGAUCCAUGUCACAAAUAAGCAUACUGAUUCUUCUAGACCAACUUGUAGUAACAAUUGUUUGCACAGAUUAGAACCUCAUAUCCCUUGCCACAUGGACACUUGAAAGUAAGGCUUAAACACUUAUCAACCCACUCCACACUAACAGCUUCUUCAUAAUCAUUUCCCAAUUCAUCCUACAAAAACAAAAAUGAACUGUUCAGCAUAAAAACUAUUAAUCUGAAAGUCAUGUUUAUAGUUUUAACUUGUUGUCGCCAAAACUACAUCGCAAUUGCAGCCGCUUUUUAGAGGAUUUUGAGGUCUCUACAAGGGCGUCACAAACACAAUUUUAGUCACAUCGGCCGCAUUUCCCCACAAUGUAAAGGUUCACAUCGUGACCACAAGUGCGACUGCAAUCGCAAUUUAAAACAAUGAUUACAAGUGCAACUAUGAUCACAUCAACAAUUUAUUAUGCUUCUUAGCCAAACCCCCAGAUCCUACAUAUUUAAGUGGAACAAAAGGUGGCUACACUACACAUGAAGUUGUAAUGAGGCCAAAAGUUUAGGUAGUGUUAUGGCUAUAAACAUUCAAACACGGGAAUAAAGGUGGCUACACUACACAUGAAACUAUAAUUGAAUAUGUCAUCUUCAUUCUUCAGUAUGUUCCUGUCUUAAAAUUUAGCAUUUUUACCCUUCGAUAUAAAACCUCUAACUCUAACAUAUUGCCCACAAAAUUCUUGAAAAGAAGAGUGUUUAUUCUUACCUAGAUUCGGUAAAUUAAAAACCAAAGGAAAAAUGCAGUGGAGGGAAGCACAUCACACAGUUGAUCAAAUAAUUUUUUUACUUCAGAUAUGUAUAUGUCGAUAAGGGAAAGUCCAGAUCCUAUAUAAUUGAGUUGUUAAAAUUGCUGCACAUAAACUAUGAUUACAAAUGCAACUAUGAUCAAAUUCAAUACCUUCCCGUAACCCCCGGAUUCUUCGUAAUUAAGCAAGUGCAACUAGGAUAUACAUAAAAAUAAGAAAUAACUUGUAAGUACCAAUUAAAGAACCAACUACAUUGAAGAUUACAUAGAAAAGACAAUCACAGUUGAAGAUUCAAGACAUGUACCUGCGAUAUGACUUUUUCAUCUUCAGCAACAAAAGAGUCAAGAGAGUGCUCUUCUUGUUCUUGUUCUUUUUCAUCCUUUUCAUCUUCAGCAUCAGGAGAGGGCUCUUCUUCUUGUUGUUCUUUUUCAUUUUCUUCCUCGACUUCCAUAACUUCAUCCCACACUUUCUUCAUUUCUUUUAACCGAUCCUUCAUCCUUUUAAGCCUCUACGAAAAACAAACAAAACCCAUUAUUCCAAAUCAAAAAAAGAGUACUUUUUUAUCAAGAAACACAAGUUUCAACACAUACCAUUGAAUCAGAUUCAGGGGUGGUUUUUUUAGCAGAGUUCAAAUAACGAGCUACUGCUUCUUUAACCUCAAAAGGAUCAAUAACUUCAGAUAUACAUCUGCUGAUCGGAGGCUGAGGCUGCAAAGCAGUUGACGGCCCUUUUACCGGCAUGGAUUGAUCCGGCAAGGUGCAAGGAUCAGAGACACAGCGGCUAAGAGCAUUCCCGCGGAGACUGAAAGGAAGUGUAAUGGCAGAGAAGCCAUUACGGGUGAGAUUGCUUGCGUCAAAAGAAUGCUUCUUGGAUGAUGGUUGGUGGGCAGAUGAUGAUGAUGGUGAACGGCGUUUGACAGAGUUGUUGUGAGUGUGAUGAUGAAGCAUUGAUGAUGUUGGAAUAAUCAUGGAUUGUUUCUGUUUGUGAGGGAUCAACAUGGAUUCUUGUUGAAUCUGUAAAUCACCCAUUCUUCUGAAUUGUUUUCUUUUUUGAUUGUAAAGUAAGUGUGAGUGGCAAAGAGUUAUGAAAAAAGAGGGAUGGUUUGAGUAUACAUACAUACAUAUAUAUAUAUAUAUAUAUAUAGGAGAUGGUAUAUGAUGAUCUGUUGAGGUUUUCAAGGGUAACUGAUUUUCUGUCUUCAAAAUCAAAUCAAAAUGUUUAAAAGAAAAUAAGUUUUACAUAAUUUGUAUUUGAGAGAUACAAACCAAAAUGGAUUUCUGGCUGGUCAUGACAUUUUUUAUUAUAUACACCCUGAGUCUGGAAAUCAAUUUUACAGGGGUGGACUUAUUGUUGAGAAAAAAAUGAUCAUAAGAUGCGAAAAUCUCAACAAAUUAUACUUAGUUAUUUAAGCCUGUUGAAAUGAGAUAAUUGCUACUACUGUCUCUCUGAAUACUAGCUAGCAUAAUUAGGGUCAUUGUUCAUCCAGUUUUGCAAAUUCGAGGUAGCUAACUAAAAUGCUCGCACGAAUUCAAUAACUAUUGAUGAUCUAGCCAAAUUGAUAAGGCUCGGCCUAUGUUUUCAGAAAUUGCAUUAGCAGUGAUUAUAUAUUCAUUAAGAGCUGUUUUGGUUAAAUUUUUCACAUAUACUCAAAAAUGAAAAGUUGAACAUGAUUACCUUAACUAAUAUCUUAUCUCCCAAGAAGAAAUAAGCUUCUAUACUUCCAAUUUUUUCAGAUCUCUCUAACUCAGUUUAUAGGUAAAAACAUCCAGAACUUACUGGUAACACCAUCAGAGUUCAGAUAUUUCUUUCUCAUACAAGUUUAUUCACAUCAGUAUUUCAUUUAUAGUGUGCAGAACAAUAAAAAAAAAAAAAAGGGUAAUAUAUAUAACAAAAGAAGAGAGGACUCAAACAGAGGACUCAAUAAUUCAUGCUAUUUUUUAGAGUUAGGAAACAGUAAAAAAAUUCAAGAGUGCUUGGAUGAUAUGCCAUGAGUACUUAGAUAAGAUGUCCCAAGUAUCUUCCUAUCUAAAUAGAGGUUUCCGGUUCUAACUAUGUGAAUGCAACAACGUUAAAAUGUUCAGGGAGAGUUUUGCCGUGGUUUUAUUGGACUCGACAAUUGAGAAACGUGAUUUGUAAAAACAGAAGUAGUAGAUGGUAAAAUAUAGUCCUAUGUUUAUAAAUUGAGAUUAUAGAUUUUUUACAGCAAAAUUGAAAUUUGCCUUUCUUUUUUGAGAACAAAAUUGUUUAGACAUUUCACAACAAAAGAAAAAAAAUAUAUUAUCAAAGAAUUUGACUAUAAAAUGUAGAGGUAACUAUUUUUAACUCAUUUUUUUUAUUAAAAAAAAAAACAUAAUUUGAUAAAUUAAAUAAUUGUUAAUAUGAUUUGAGAAACCAUGUUUUUGCUAUCUAAAUUCUAUCCAAUAAUUCUGUGUUCUCUGCAGAUAUUUUUUCCGCAAUAUAUACUUCAAUUAUUAUUGUUAAAUCAAUAUAGUUUACUUUUUAAUUUCCAUUUUUUGCAUUAGGGGAGGAUUGAUUUUAUAAUUGAACAACUGAAUCUUCCAUUAUAUCCUCUAGAGAUUCUAAACUGAACAUUUAACAAAUAUAGAUGCAUCGAUUCUUAGAAUGGCAUGUAAGAAAAACACAGUAAUAAUGUGUUAAUAAACUUCUCAUUGAGGUGAACAUAUUUACAAGCAAAUAUGAUAACAACAAAAGAUAAAAUCUUUUGAAGGUGAGAAACUAAACUGCUACAAAACUGGGUCAAAUAUCUAUGUCAUGUCCUAUGAUAUCUUCAAAGAGCUAAUUCAAUUCAAGUGAGAAGUAAUAUCUAAGAAAAUGUCUUCUUUGCAAGGAAUAGUUAGACCACCCAUUGGAUGGUCAUAUUCAAAUUGUUCCUCGGCUUCGCUCAACAAUUCUUGGAAUGAAGUUUGGUUCAAAUAUGAUACAGGAAUCACAAACCGCUUCAUUUUCUCUCCUACGUACACUGCUAGAUAGCCCUUUGGAACGUCCACAGCUUUUGAAGAUGAUGCCCUUGAUCUGAUGAUACUACGUAAACGAAAACCCAUUGUUGUAUGUAUGAGUUAAAAGGAGAAGAUUGGUCUAAAAAGAAAGAGUUGUGUAUAGAAGACUCAAGUUUCUGAACUUCAACUGACUUGGGAUGUGAAUG